UUCAAUUGGUUUUGAAAAUUACAUCUGGACUUAUGCUCUAUUCCACCUCGGCAUGACUGAUGGGUGGUUUUGGAAGCCUCUGGAUGCCUGGCGGUGUGAUUCAGGUGGUGCUGGUGGGGAUUACGCUGUGGGAUGUCCGAAUUUCUCACCCCACUGCAACCUCCACUUACCCCUCAAAGAGAAUUGUGAGGGUGGAGGAAGUGCAGAGUAUUUGCUUUUCUUUCCCCCAAACAUACCCCAAACAAAGUAUCCUGCCACAUAAACAUAAGGGGACCUCUGUAAAUCCGGCACCCAGCUCACAGCUCAUGUUACAAGUCAGUUUUUAUAAUCCUAGGAACAAGCUCAAGGCUGUGUGGGGGGGUUGGGAUUUUGCUUUGUUUUUAAUCAGCCUCUCCAUUUUUUCCUUUGAAAUGGGAAAAAAAAAAAUCUUCUAGAAAUUUAUCUAUUUCUUACUUUUGGAUUCAGUCUUGUAUUUCAGAUUCCUGUAAAUAGUUUUCCGGAGUUUGAAAUGCUUUUGUGAUUGAAAAUGCACAUUUCUCAUGGGCACUCACAGAACUGAAACAGCGUGAUUUGCAAGCUUGCUAAAUGGAUUUCUUCCAAGCAAGUCAUUGGGAGCGGGAACCCUGCAGCUAUUUAACAGCUCGCUGUUAACACUAGACACAAGAUUUUAAGACAGAAGGGCAAGAAGGUUGCAUCCUACUGAACUGAUACGACAUGAGAAGUUCAUCCUUUCUGUACAAAUCCAACAGGGUUCUCUAAGUGGACUGAGAGCUACUUUGUGAGUUUGUAGUAUUUGUACUGGCCAGCUGUACUGUACAUGUUCCUAUGGGUUUCUCCUUUUUUUAUCCCUUUCUUCUGCUGCACUCCUGAUUUAAAUAUGUGUGUUUCAGAGGUUGUCUCUAAAAUAUUCAUUGUUAAUGAUUGUGUGUUGAUGGCUCCCCCACCUUCCAGGACUAGGCUGUGAUUUUGCUUCGUGGUCCCGCAGGUGUGACCGUAUCAUUUACCCAACCCGAUGCUGAAGCAUCUUUGAGCCACACCAUUGCAUGUCUUAGCGUUCUCUUGUUUCUAUGAGGACCAGUGGUACAGUUACGUAUGAAAUGAUUAGAUAAUGCCAGGAAGAA